rnacentral:rRNA from 1 species
GACGUAGGGCGCGAGCGUUGUCCGGAUUUAUUGGGCGUAAAGAGCUCGUAGGCGGCUUGUCGCGUCGACUGUGAAAACCCGAGGCUCAACUUCGGGCUUGCAGUCGAUACGGGCAGGCUAGAGUUCGGUAGGGGAGACUGGAAUUCCUGGUGUAGCGGUGAAAUGCGCAGAUAUCAGGAGGAACGCCGGUGGCGAAGGCGGGUCUCUGGGCCGAUACUGACGCUGAGGAGCGAAAGCAUGGGGAGCGAACAGG